ensembl:lncRNA
UAUAUAUAUAUAUAUAUAUCCAUAUGUUAAUGUGUUCGCUGCAAUUUCUAUAAGUACAACUUGAAGAGAUAGUUCCAUAAAAUCACAAUCAAUCGAACAGAGUAAUAUAUUGGUAAUUAGUUUUUUUUUUUUUUUUUUUUUUUUUUUUUUCAAACUGGCAGUCUAUAUAUAUAUAUAUAUAUAUAUAUAAGUACGUAUAUACAUCGACAUAGGGACAUGUGUAUAAACAAAAAACAUACUUAUACAUGUAUGUAUGUGUACAUGUGAAUUUUUAUUUAUUUGCCAAAAAAAUGUUUUUAGUUUUUUACUAUUUUUUUCAUGAUUUAAAAAAAAUAAAAAUAAAAGCGAGCUUAUAAAUUUAUGAUCAUAUCAAAAAAAACACGUAUAAAAAAACACGUAUAAAAAAAACACGUAUAAAAAAAACACGUAUAAAAAAAAGUAUAAAAAAACGUACAAAAAAAACUAUGCAUUUUCAACUACCUUUUGUUAAUCAUAUCACACCCUUAAGAAAAAAUGGAAAAACUAAAAACUGACUCAGAAAAAACCAAUAAGAAAGUAUCUAAUAAAGAACAAGAAAGUAAUUAUAACAGUGGUAAUAAUAGUAAUAACAACAGCGACAACGAAAACAACGACAAUGAAAACAACGACAAUGAAAACAACGACAACGAAAACAACGACAACGAAAACAACGACAACGAAAACAACGACAACGAUGAUAAUGACAACGAUGAUAAUGACAAUGAAAACAACGACAACAACAGCGACAGUAAUAACAACAACAAUAACAGUAGUAGUAAAAUAAUGCCACAUGAAAAUAAAACAAAUGAAAAAAAAACAAAUGAAAAAAAAACAAAUGAAAAAAAAACAAAUGUAAAAAAAACUCAGAAAAAGGCUAUUUUAAAAAAAACGAAAGAAAAAGUAUUAAUUUCACCUAAAAAUAAUAAUAAUAAUAUAAAAAUACCUGUAAAUAAAUUAAAAAAAAAAAUAAACACUGUAAGUAUGUUCCCGCCUCCCCCUCCUCCUCCUCCCCCUCCUCUUGGUUUAUUUCCACCAAAAAAUAUAAAUAAUUCAGAAGAAUGGAAUUUCAGAAAAAAAUUUAAUAUUAAACAUGACUCGAAUAGUAGUAGUAAACAUAAUCCAAUAGCUGUUAAUAAUUUUAAUAUUCAUUCAGUCCCCACCUCUGUCCCUAAUAUAAAUAAUAACAUAAAAAAAAAUACGCCUACGAAUACAAGCGAUAAUAUACAUACAACAGGUAAUUAUAUUACUAAACGUCAUAAUAAAUAUUAUAAACACAACCUAAAUGAAAAUAAUCAAAUUGAAAAUGAAAAAAAUGAAAAAAAUGAAAAAAAUAAAAACGAAAAACAUAAAAACGAAAAAAAUAAAAAUGAAAAAAAUAAAAAUGAAAAAAAUAAAAAUGAAAAAAAUAAAAACGACAACAAACACAUAGAAAUCAACGACAAUGACAACAGCAACAACAACCACAACCACAACCAAAUACAUAGCCAUUUUAAUAAACAUAUACAUAAACAACAAAAUUAUAUUUUUAAAACAACCCCUAUACAACCAGCUCUUCCUCCUCCUAUGAGUGGUAAACCUAAUUAUCUUAGACCUUCUACUCCCACACCCACUACUACUACUAAUAAUACAACCACAACUACUACUAUUUCGAAUAAAAUUAAUCAUAAUACCCCUUUUAGUUAUAGUCCUAAUAUAAACAAUAAUUCGAACAUUAAUUUAAGUUGUAUGUCUAAUUUUAAUACAAAUAUAAAUACGAAUUUUCAACCAAACAUAUAUUACAACAAUAAUUCAAAAAAAAAUUAUAAUUUAAUUAAUUCAUAUGAAUAUGGUAAUUAUCCAACCAUGCCCCCAACACUAAGACCAGCCCCACAACAUCAUCAACAACAUCAAAGUACUCAAACACCAAUUAAUAUUAAUCUUAAAAAAAAAUAUAUUUUUUUAUCACAUAACGAAUUAUUAUCACAACCUCAACAUAACAACAAUCCUAACAAUAAUCUUAACAACAAUCCUAACAAUAAUCUUAACAACAAUCCUAACAUUAAUUAUAUGUACACGGAUAUGCCACUUCAUCAAGACCUUAAUAAUAAAAAAUUAACAUUCUCUCCAAACAUACAACAUAAUUAUGUAAGUACAAUAGGACCUACACCAUAUUCAAAUCAAUAUUUCAUUAAUCCAUUGCUUGAUUCAGUUUCAACUAAACCAUCGCACAACCAUCUACAACCUAACGAAUUCAAUGAUGACAAACACAUUUUCCAAACUUAUAAAAAUAGUAUGGAGGAUAAUGGAAUGUAUAGACAGUUUCCACCAAGAAAUUUUGUUAACGAGCCUAAUAUGAAUAUGUGGAAUAAAAACACUAAUGUACCCAUGCCAAACAGCAUGUAUGAUAACAAUCCUGCUAAUACAACGUAUCCUAUGAUCUAUGAUCAAUACAUGGAUAAAAUGAAGUAUAAAGAUAAAACAAUGAUAAUGAACAAUCCACCAGUUGAUAAAAAACAACAUAAUAUAAUUGUGACCAAUAUACCUAAGAAUUUAUCUUCUAGAGAAAUUAUGGAAACAUUUAGGUGUAUGGGAAAUGUGUUGCGAGCGGAUAUUAUGCUGACAAGCAAGGGUGAACAUUCCGGUUGUGCUUAUGUGACCUUCCCCGAUUUUGAAUCAGCCUCUAUCGCAGCUAAUCGAUAUGAUGGUGGUACAUUUAACAAUCAUAAAAUAAAGGUUUUUGUGGAAUAAGACAUAAUAAUAAAAAUAAAAUAUAAUAAAAUAAGCA